AUUGAACGCUGGCGGCAGGCUUAACACAUGCAAGUCGAACGAGUGGCGGACGGGUGAGUAAUGCUUGGGAAUCUGGCUUAUGGAGGGGGAUAACGACGGGAAACUGUCGCUAAUACCGCGUACCAUAGGAUGAGCCCAAGUGGGAUUAGGUAGUUGGUGGGGUAAUGGCCUACCAAGCAGACGAUCGCUAGCUGGUCUGAGAGGAUGACCGGACACCUCGGGACUGAGACACGGCCCAGACUCCUCCGGGAGGCAGCAGUGGGGAAUUUUGGUCAAUGGGCGCAAGCCUGAUCCAGCCAUGCCGCGUGUCUGAAGAAGGCCUUCGGGUUGUAAAGGACUUUUGUCAGGGAAGCGGUACCUGAAGAAUAAGCAACGGCUAACUACGUGCCAGCAGCCGCGGUAAUAC
rnacentral:rRNA from 1 species